rnacentral:rRNA from 1 species
UACGGGGGGUGCGAGCGUUGUCCGGAAUUAUUGGGCGUAAAGAGCUCGUAGGCGGCUUGUCACGUCGGGUGUGAAAGCCCGGGGCUUAACCCCGGGUCUGCAUUCGAUACGGGCUAGCUAGAGUGUGGUAGGGGAGAUCGGAAUUCCUGGUGUAGCGGUGAAAUGCGCAGAUAUCAGGAGGAACACCGGUGGCGAAGGCGGAUCUCUGGGCCAUUACUGACGCUGAGGAGCGAAAGCGUGGGGAGCGAACAGG